rnacentral:rRNA from 1 species
GACGAGAACGGCCGCUCCUCUACAAUGCAAACCGAGAAGAACGGGUAGACCCUUGCUUCAUUGCUGACUAGUGGCGGACCCCUUUAUAAUGUCUGGGAUACUGCCUGAUGGAGGGGGAUAACUAUUGGAAACGGUUGCUAAUACCGUAUAAUGCCUCAUGACCAAAGAAGGGGACCGUCAGGUCUCUUGCCAUCGAAUGUGCCCAGAUGGGAUUAGCUAAUUUGUGGGGUAACGGCUCACCCAGGAGACUAUCCCUAGCUGGUCUGAGAGGAUGACCAGCCACCCUGGAACUGAAACCCGGUCCAGACUCCUACGGGAGGGAGCAAUGGGGAAUAUUGCACAAUGGGAGCAAGCCUGAUGCAGCCCUGCCGGGGGUAUGAAUAACGCCUUCGGGUUGUUAAUCACUUUCUAUAUGAGAGAGAAGGGAGCAAAGUUAUUACCAUUGGUCUUUGAUGUCUCCGUCACAAGACGCACCGGUUUACUCCGUGCCAGCGCCUCCCUUAAUACCGAGGGGGCAAGAGUUAGUAGGAAUUGCUGGACGUAAAGCAAAUGCAGGCGGUUUGUUAAGUCUAAUGCUGAAUCCCCGGCUUCUACCUGAGAACGGCAUCUAAUACGGGCAAGCUUGAGGUCGUCGUAGAGGGAUGUAAAUUCAAAGAGUAACAAUAAGAAUGCGUAGACAUCCGAAUGAAUACCGUUUGGCGAAUGCACCCCCCAGCACGAAGACUGACACUCAUUAGCAAAAGCGUGGAGCCCCAACAAGACUACAUAACCUGUUAUGUCCGCGCCGUCUACCAUGCCGACAUGCAGUUUGUACUCGUGAGGCCUGGCUUCCGGAGCCCACGCGUUUAAUUCCACCGCCAUGGAGAACACGGCCCACCAGCCUAACACUCAAAUGAUUUGGUUGGAUGGCCCCCAAACACCCUUGAACCUUGGUUGUUUAAUUACUAUGCAACAAAGAAUAAACUUAUCCUUUUCUUGUAUUUCCCCAGAAUUUUCUUUA